CAACAAACACCUGGGCUGAAUUGAUUAUUCCUCUUAAUAUUCUCACAAUGUCAAGAUAGAGUCUGCUUCCCAGAAACCCAAGCUGCAAGAGGAAUUUCAAGGUGUCUGCUGUGGGACAAGAAGAGGACAGAGUGAAACCUACAUACAG